AGAGCGAACGCUGGCGGCAGGCUUAACACAUGCAAGUCGAACGGAUCCUUCGGGAUUAGUGGCGGACGGGUGAGUAACACGUGGGAACGUGCCUUUUGGUUCGGAACAACUCAGGGAAACUUGAGCUAAUACCGGAUGUGCCCUUCGGGGGAAAGAUUUAUCGCCAUUAGAGCGGCCCGCGUCUGAUUAGCUAGUUGGUGAGGUAAAGGCCCACCAAGGCUACGAUCAGUAGUUGGUCUGAGAGGAUGACCAGCCACAUUGGGACUGAGACACGGCCCAAACUCCUACGGGAGGCAGCAGUGGGGAAUCUUGCGCAAUGGGCGAAAGCCUGACGCAGCCAUGCCGCGUGAAUGAUGAAGGUCUUAGGAUUGUAAAAUUCUUUCACCGGGGACGAUAAUGACGGUACCCGGAGAAGAAGCCCCGGCUAACUUCGCGCCAGCAGCCGC
rnacentral:rRNA from 1 species